rnacentral:rRNA from 1 species
AGGAAGUAAAAGUCGUAACAAGGUCUCCGUUGGUGAACCCAGCGGGAGGGAUCAUUACUGAGUUUUACGCUCUUUAUAACCCUUUUGUGAACAUACCUAUAACUGUUGCUUCGGCGGGGGGUAGGGGUCUCCGCGACCCUCCCGGCCUCCCGCCUCCGGGCGGGUCGGCGCCCGCCGGAGGAUAACCAAACUCUGAUUUAACGACGUUUCUUCUGAGUGGUACAAGCAAAUAAUCAAAACUUUUAACAACGGAUCUCUUGGUUCUGGCAUCGAUGAAGAACGCAGCGAAAUGCGAUAAGUAAUGUGAAUUGCAGAAUUCAGUGAAUCAUCGAAUCUUUGAACGCACAUUGCGCCCGCCAGCAUUCUGGCGGGCAUGCCUGUUCGAGCGUCAUUUCAACCCUCAAGCUCUGCUUGGUGUUGGGGCCCUACAGCUGAUGUAGGCCCUCAAAGGUAGUGGCGGACCCUCCCGGAGCCUCCUUUGCGUAGUAACUUUACGUCUCGCACUGGGAUCCGGAGGGACUCUCGCCGUAAAACCCCCCAAUUUUCCAAAGGUUGACCUCGGAUCAGGUAGGAAUACCCGCUGAACUUAAGCAUAUCA